rnacentral:misc_RNA from 1 species
GAUGAAGAACGCAGUGAAAUGCGAUAAGUAAUGUGAAUUGCAGAAUUCAGUGAAUCAUCGAAUCUUUGAACGCACAUUGCGCCCCCUGGUAUUCCGGGGGGCAUGCCUGUUCGAGCGUCAUUACAACCCUCAAGCUCUGCUUGGUGUUGGGCCCCGCCGCCCCGGCGGGCCCUAAAAUCAGUGGCGGUGCCGUCCGGCUCCGAGCGUAGUAAUUCUUCUCGCUCUGGAGGGCCGGGUGUGUGCUCGCCAGCAACCCCCAAUUUUUUUCAGGUUGACCUCGGAUCAGGUAGGGAUACCCGCUGAACUUAAGCAUAUCAAUAAGCGGAGGA